AUGGUCUGGUCCUCUGUUCUCCUUGCUCUCUUUACUUACUGCACAGCCUCUUGGAGACAGUCUGUGUUGACCCAAACACCCUCAGUGUCUGGAAACCUUGGACAGAAAGUCUCCAUUUUAUGCACUGGAAGUAGCAGCAACAUUGGUGGUUAUUAUGUACAGUGGUACCAACAGCUCCCAGGAACAUCUCCCAAACUCAUCUGUGAUGAUAGCAAGAUACCCUCUGGGGUAUCUUGGAGCAACUUCUUGUGCUCCAAGUCUGGCAACUCAGCCACCCUGACCAUUGCUGGGCUCCACUCUGAGGAUGAGGCUGAUUAUUACUGUCAGUCCUAUGAUAACAGCCUUGGUGCUCCCACAGUGCUCCAGACUCAUGGUGAA